rnacentral:tRNA from 1 species
CCCUGCCUAGCCCAAUAGCAGAGGCAUCGGUCUUAGGAACCGACCAGUGCGGGUGCAACUCCUGCCGCAGGGA